rnacentral:lncRNA from 1 species
CCUACAGUAUAUUGCAACUAGUUGGACCCUGCUCAUAUUGACCCAAACACAGAGGUAAAAAAAUCUUCUCGGUCGAUUUAUUCUUUUCAUUUCCUUAUGCCAUAAAGUUCUCAUUACUGACUUUCCUCCUCUACACAGUCCGAUAGCUAGGCACAUCCAAUGCGUAGCCGAAGUGGUAGGCCGAUAGAGAACCGCCAUCUGUACACACCAUACCUACUUAUCA